rnacentral:rRNA from 1 species
CAAUAGCGUAUAUUAAAGUUGUUGCGGUUAAAAAGCUCGUAGUUGGAUUUCUGCCGAGGACGACCGGUCCGCCCUCUGGGUGAGCAUCUGGAUCGGCCUGGGCAUCCUCUUGGGGAACGUAGCUGCACUUGACUGUGUGGUGCGGUAUCCAGGACUUUUACUUUGAAGAAAUUGGAGUGUUUAAAGCAGGCUUACGCCAGAACAUAUUAGCAUGGAAUAAUAAUUUAGGACUUUUGUUCUAUUUUGUUGGUUUCUAGGACGAAAGUAAUGAUUGAUAGGGAUAGUUGGGGGUGCUAGUAUUCGGCGGCCAGAGGUGAAAUUCUUUGAUCCGCUGAAGACUAACUUAUGCGAAAGCAUUCACCAAGGAUGUCUUCUUUAAUCAAGAACGAAAGUUGGGGGAUCGAAGACGAUUAGAUACCGU